rnacentral:pre_miRNA from 1 species
CAAGUACUCCCUCUGUCCGGAAUUACUUGUCAUCAAAAUGGAUGUGUCUAGAACUAAAAUACAUCGAGAUACAUCCAUUUCAAUGACAAGUAUUUUCGGACGGAGGGAGUACAAG